rnacentral:tRNA from 1 species
GGUGGCUCAGUGGUAGAGUGCUUGCCUUGAAUGCAUGAGGCUCUAGGUUUGAUUCCUGUGCACCA